UUGUACAAAAACCAUAAUAGAGCGGCUACCAAAAUGAAAUCAGAGUUUUUAGCUCGGCGACAAAAAUGGCUCGAAGCAUGGCAUAUGAACAAAUCUCUGACUGGCCGCUCUUGGCUAGGUCAACUUCUAAACAUAUACAUCAUUACAUGCAUCAUAAGAACCUAAUGAGCUAAUAGCUCAGCAAGUUGAAACUGAUGUAAUAGCAAUAUAUCACAUAACACGUUAUUCUCUCAACAUACACAAUAUCACAUAUAACUUCAUUCAUGAUCUUUUCUUUUGAAAUCCUUCUCUUUUUCGGGUACCCUU
rnacentral:lncRNA from 1 species